rnacentral:rRNA from 1 species
UACGUAGGCAGCAAGCGUUGUUCGGAGUUACUGGGCGUAAAGGGUGUGUAGGCGGUUCUUUAAGUUUGGUGUGAAAUCUCCCGGCUCAACUGGGAGGGUGCGCCGAAUACUGAGGGACUAGAGUACGGGAGAGGAAAGUGGAAUUCCUGGUGUAGCGGUGAAAUGCGUAGAUAUCAGGAGGAACACCGGUGGUGUAGACGGCUUUCUGGACCGUAACUGACGCUGGGACACGAAAGCGUGGGGAGCAAACAGG